UACGUAGGGUGCGAGCGUUAAUCGGAAUUACUGGGCGUAAAGCGUGCGCAGGCGGUUCGUUGUGUCGGCGGUGAAAGCCCCGGGCUUAACCUGGGAAUGGCCGUUGAAACUGGCGAACUGGAGUGUGGCAGAGGGGGGUGGAAUUCCGCGUGUAGCAGUGAAAUGCGUAGAGAUGCGGAGGAACACCGAUGGCGAAGGCAGCCCCCUGGGUUAACACUGACGCUCAGGCACGAAAGCGUGGGGAGCAAACAGG
rnacentral:rRNA from 1 species